UACAGAGGUCUCAAGCGUUGUUCGGAUUCAUUGGGCGUAAAGGGUGCGUAGGUGGCGCCGUAAGUCGGGUGUGAAAUUUCGGAGCUUAACUCCGAAACUGCAUUCGAUACUGCGGUGCUUGAGGACUGGGAGAGGAGACUGGAAUUCAUGGUGUAGCAGUGAAAUGCGUAGAGAUCAUGAGGGAAGACCAGUGGCGAAGGCGGGUCUCUGGACAGUUCCUGACACUGAGACACGAAGGCCAGGGGAGCAAACGGG
rnacentral:rRNA from 1 species